rnacentral:tRNA from 1 species
GGAGGGUAUAGCUCAGUGGUAGAGCGCAUGCUUAGCAUGCAUGAGGUCCUGGGUUCAGUCCCCAGUACCUCCA